CUACGGGAGGCAGCAGUGGGGAAUUUUCCGCAAUGGGCGAAAGCCUGACGGAGCAAUACCGCGUGAGGGAAGACGGCCUAUGGGUUGUAAACCUCUUUUCUCAGGGAGGAAAUCAAUGACGUUACCUGAGGAAUAAGCAUCGGCUAACUCCGUGCCAGCAGCCGCGGUAAGACGGAGGAUGCAAGUGUUAUCCGGAAUCACUGGGCGUAAAGCGUCUGUAGGUGGCUUAACAAGUCAACUGUUAAAUCUUGAAGCUCAACUUCGAAAUCGCAGUCGAAACUGUUAGGCUAGAGUAUAGUAGGGGUAAAGGGAAUUUCCAGUGGAGCGGUGAAAUGCGUAGAGAUUGGAAAGAACACCGAUGGCGAAGGCACUUUACUGGGCUAUUACUGACACUCAGAGACGAAAGCUAGGGUAGCAAAUGGGAUUAGAUACCCCAGUAGUCCUAGCCGUAAACAAUGGAUACUAGAUGUUGGGCAGAUCGACCUGUUCAGUAUUAAAGCUAACGCGUUAAGUAUCCCGCCUGGGAAGUAUGCGCGCAAGCGUGAAACUCAAAU
rnacentral:rRNA from 1 species